rnacentral:rRNA from 1 species
UACGUAGGGUGCAAGCGUUAAUCGGAGUUACUAGGCGUAAAGCGUGCGCAGGCGGUGAUGUAAGACAGGUGUGAAAUCCCCGGGCUUAACCUGGGAACUGCAUUUGUGACUGCAUCGCUGGAGUGCGGCAGAGGGGGAUGGAAUUCCGCGUGUAGCAGUGAAAUGCGUAGAUAUGCGGAGGAACACCGAUGGCGAAGGCAAUCCCCUGGGCCUGCACUGACGCUCAUGCACGAAAGCGUGGGGAGCAAACAGG